GACGAACGCUGGCGGCGUGCUUAACACAUGCAAGUCGAACGGAAAGGCCCUGCUUUUGUGGGGUGCUCGAGUGGCGAACGGGUGAGUAACACGUGAGUAACCUGCCCUUGACUUUGGGAUAACUUCAGGAAACUGGGGCUAAUACCGGAUAGGAGCUCCUGCUGCAUGGUGGGGGUUGGAAAGUUUCGGCGGUUGGGGAUGGACUCGCGGCUUAUCAGCUUGUUGGUGGGGUAGUGGCUUACCAAGGCUUUGACGGGUAGCCGGCCUGAGAGGGUGACCGGGCAAAUGGGGAAGGGGAAGGGGCCGAGGGGCCUGGGGGGGGGAGGGGGGGGGAAUAUGGAGAAAGGGGGGGAGGGUGGAGGGGGCGAGGGCGGGGGGGGGGGGGGGGGUGUCGGGUUGGAAACCGGUUGCGCCGGGGACGAAGGGGGGGGGGGGGGAAGGGGUAAAGAAGGACGGGCUAACUACGG
rnacentral:rRNA from 1 species